rnacentral:rRNA from 1 species
GAUGAACGCUGGCGGCGUGCCUAAUACAUGCGAGUCGAGCGAACGGACGAGAAGCUUGCUUCUCUGAUGUUAGCGGCGGACGGGUGAGUAACACGUGGAUAACCUACCUAUAAGACUGGGAUAACUUCGGGAAACCGGAGCUAAUACCGGAUAAUAUUUUGAACCGCAUGGUUCAAAAGUGAAAGACGGUCUUGCUGUCACUUAUAGAUGGAUCCGCGCUGCAUUAGCUAGUUGGUAAGGUAACGGCUUACCAAGGCAACGAUGCAUAGCCGACCUGAGAGGGUGAUCGGCCACACUGGAACUGAGACACGGUCCAGACUCCUACGGGAGGCAGCAGUAGGGAAUCUUCCGCAAUGGGCGAAAGCCUGACGGAGCAACGCCGCGUGAGUGAUGAAGGUCUUCGGAUCGUAAAACUCUGUUAUUAGGGAAGAACAUAUGUGUAAGUACCUGUGCACAUCUUGACGGUACCUAAUCAGAAAGCCACGGCUAACUACGUG